rnacentral:rRNA from 1 species
AUUGAACGCUGGCGGCAUGCUUUACACAUGCAAGUCGAACGGUAACAGGCCUUCGGGUGCUGACGAGUGGCGAACGGGGGAGUAAUGCACCGGAACGUAUCCAGGGGUGGGGGAUAACGCAGCGAAAGCUGUGCUAAUACCGCAUGUGAGCUGAGGAUGAAAGCGGGGGACCGAGCAGCAAUGUUUGGUCUCGCGCCUGUGGAGCGGGCGAUGUCGGGUUAGCUAGUUGGUGGGGUAAAGGCCUACCAAGGCGACGAUCCGUAGCUGGUCUGAGAGGACGACCAGCCACACUGGGACUGAGACACGGCCCAGACUCCUACGGGAGGCAGCAGUGGGGAAUUUUGGACAAUGGGCGCAAGCCUGAUCCAGCAAUGCCGCGUGCGGGAAGAAGGCCUUCGGAUUGUAAACCGCUUUUGGCAGGGAGGAAGCGCUGUCCGCUAAUACCUGGCGGUAAUGACGGUACCUGCAGAAUAAGCACCGGCUAACUACGUG